CCGGUGCGAGGACAGUGUCAGGUGGGCAGUUUGACUGGGGCGGUCGCCUCCUAAAGAGUAACGGAGGCGCCCCAAGGUUCCCUCAGAAUGGUUGGAAAUCAUUCGAAGAGUGCAAAGGCAGAAGGGAGCUUGACUGCGAGACCUACAAGUCGAGCAGGGACGAAAGUCGGGCUUAGUGAUCCGGUGGUACCGCAUGGAAGGGCCAUCGCUCAACGGAUAAAAGCUACCCUGGGGAUAACAGGCUUAUCUCCCCCAAGAGUCCACAUCGACGGGGAGGUUUGGCACCUCGAUGUCGGCUCAUCGCAUCCUGGGGCUGAAGUAGGUCCCAAGGGUUGGGCUGUUCGCCCAUUAAAGCGGUACGCGAGCUGGGUUCAGAACGUCGUGAGACAGUUCGGUCCCUAUCUGUCGUGGGCGUAGGAAAUUUGAGAGGAGCUGUCCUUAGUACGAGAGGACCGGGAUGGACGUACCGCUGGUGUACCAGUUGUUCCGCCAGGAGCACCGCUGGGUAGCUAUGUACGGAAGGGAUAAGCGCUGAAAGCAUCUAAGCGUGAAGCCCCCCUCAAGAUGAGAUUUCCCAGUAUGUAAGACCCCUUGAAGACGACGAGGUAGAUAGGUUGGGGGUGGAAGUGCAGUAAUGCAUGGAGCUGACCAAUACUAAUCGGUCGAGGGCUUAUCCUA
rnacentral:rRNA from 1 species